GACGAACGCUGGCGGCGUGCUUAACACAUGCAAGUCGAGCGAUGAAGUUCCUUCGGGAAUGGAUUAGCGGCGGACGGGUGAGUAACACGUGGGUAACCUGCCUCAUAGAGGGGAAUAGCCUUUCGAAAGGAGGAUUAAUACCGCAUAAGAUUGUAGUAUCGCAUGAUGCAGCAAUUAAAGGAGUAAUCCGCUAUGAGAUGGACCCGCGUCGCAUUAGCUAGUUGGUGAGGUAACGGCUCACCAAGGCGACGAUGCGUAGCCGACCUGAGAGGGUGAUCGGCCACAUUGGGACUGAGACACGGCCCAGACUCCUACGGGAGGCAGCAGUGGGGAAUAUUGCACAAUGGGGGAAACCCUGAUGCAGCAACGCCGCGUGAGUGAUGACGGUCUUCGGAUUGUAAAGCUCUGUCUUCAGGGACGAUAAUGACGGUACCUGAGGAGGAAGUCACGGCUAACUACGUGCCAGCCGCCGCCGUAA
rnacentral:rRNA from 1 species